rnacentral:misc_RNA from 1 species
UAAUAAGUGUUUUAUGGCACUUUUUAAAUCCAUAUCCACCUUGUGUGCAAUGUCGGUCGAUCUUCUUCUUUGAGGAUCGACCAAACCUCAACCUUUAUCUUUUAACUCUUUGUCUGAAAAAUAUUAUGAAUAAACAAUUCAAAAUA